rnacentral:misc_RNA from 1 species
UACGGAGGGUGCAAGCGUUAAUCGGAAUUACUGGGCGUAAAGCGCACGUAGGUGGCUGAGUAAGUCGGAUGUGAAAGCCCUGGGCUCAACCUGGGAAUUGCAUUUGAUACUGUUCGGCUUGAGUACGAUAGAGGGAGGUAGAAUUCCUAGUGUAGCGGUGAAAUGCGUAGAUAUUAGGAGGAAUACCGGUGGCGAAGGCGGCCUCCUGGACUGAUACUGACACUGAGGUGCGAAAGCGUGGGGAGCAAACAGG